rnacentral:rRNA from 1 species
GACGAACGCUGGCGGCGUGCUUAACACAUGCAAGUCGAACGGUAAGGCCCUUCGGGGUACACGAGUGGCGAACGGGUGAGUAACACGUGGGUGAUCUGCCCUGCACUUCGGGAUAAGCCUGGGAAACUGGGUCUAAUACCGGAUAGGACCACUGCCUGCAUGGGUGGUGGUGGAAAGCUUUUGCGGUGUGGGAUGGGCCCGCGGCCUAUCAGCUUGUUGGUGGGGUGAUGGCCUACCAAGGCGACGACGGGUAGCCGGCCUGAGAGGGUGACCGGCCAGACGGGGCCUGGGAUACGGCGCAGACCCCUACGGGAGGCAGCAGUGGAGAAUAUUGAUCAAUGGGCGCAAGCCUGAUGCAGCGAGGCCGCGGGAGGGAGGACGGACUUCGGGUUGUAAACCUCUUUCAGCACCGACGAAGCGCAAGUGACGGUAGGUGCAGAAGAAGGACCGGCCAACUACGUGCCAGCCGCCGCCGUAA